rnacentral:tRNA from 1 species
AAUGAGGAGCCUGAGGAAAGGAUUAUUUUGAUAGAAUAAAACACGUGUAGUACACCCUCAUUA